UACGAAGGUCCCAAGCGUUGUUCGGAAUCACUGGGCGUAAAGGGAGCGUAGGCGGUGUGGUAAGUCAGAUGUGAAAUCCCGGGGCUCAACCCCGGAACUGCAUCCGAUACUGCCGUGCUUGAGGGUUGGAGAGGUAGCUGGAAUUAUCGGUGUAGCAGUGAAAUGCGUGGAUAUCGAUAGGAACACUCGUGGCGAAGGCGAGCUACUGGACAACAUCUGACGCUGAGGCUCGAAGGCCAGGGGAGCAAAAGGG
rnacentral:rRNA from 1 species